rnacentral:tRNA from 1 species
GCCUUCAUAGCUCAGCGGCAGAGCACUUCUUUGGUAAAGAAGAGGUCACGAGUUCGAUUCUCGUUGAAGGCU